UCCUUCCUCAUAUCAGGCUGAAAGCAGCUGAUUUUGGAAAUUAAACAGUCCUGGAUCUGUGCGUACCUGGGCAAUAGACAUUAAUUCCAGAUAAACUGAAGGAC
ensembl:rRNA 5S_rRNA 5S ribosomal RNA